GCACUGCCGCUGCCACCGCGCUCCUGCUGGUCAUGGACAACGUUCCAGCACAAGGAUGGGCGUGCUAGGGUGCCCUGUCCCCUGCUGGCUGGGCACCCCCAUGUGUCCAGCUCCGCUGCUCUGUGCUGCCCUUCACUCUGUAGUUCUGCUCACCUCCUGGGUGGCCGCCCAGGGGUGCUGCUGGGCCAUCGUCCCCCUCCCAAGCUGGUUAGUGGGUGGAAGACAGGAGCAGCUGGCAGCUGCCGCCCCUCCCCUGGGAAAGCAGCAGAGGUGGCCUCAGCUCCAGGCCACCGGCCCUGUCACUCUGCUGCUCAGCCUCUGGAGACCAGCCCUGGCCUCCCAAGAGAGGCUGGAAAGCAGAGGAGGUGCGGUCAGCCCGCGCCACCCCCGACCCCUCGGCCCGGGCCCCCAGUGCUGAUUCACCAGCUGCUGGAAACUUCUCUGGCCGUGCUCCGCUGCUGCCCUGGUCUUGACCUCAGCAUGUGACCGGCACAAGGCUGGCGGAGGCCCCACUGCCAGGUCUCUGGAGGGCCAUGAUGCGGGGAGCUGCCAGGGUCUGCACAGUGGCCUGCAGUGGCACAGCCCUCUGCCUCCGCCCAGCCUACACCUGUCCCCUGGGCUGGCCAGGCCAUCUGCUGAGACUCCUGGGAACAGAACCUGGCCAGCACACCGUCCACCCAGUGUCCUCCUCAGCCCCUGCUGCCCACAGGUGCUGAGAAGCCAGCCUUCUGGUCACUUGUCCACCAGGAGACAAAGGCCCCCUGGCACAGAAGGGCAGCCAGGUGGAGGCUGUGUUGGUCUCCGAGGCUGUGACCAAGCGAGGGUGACAGCACAGGGUGUCCUCUGGGUGACUCCAGAGCCCCUGCGGUCGCCCUCUACACAGUGCUCCUCUCCACCGAGCUCUGACCUCCUGUCCCUGGGUAUCAGACUCCAGGGACCUCCCGGGUGGGCCCUGCAGCAUGUCCUUCUGUCUGGCCCCAGGUCCCCUGGCCACCCACACUGUGCUGUGUGGAGCCUUG
rnacentral:lncRNA from 1 species